GACGAACGCUGGCGGCGUGCUUAACACAUGCAAGUCGAACGGAAAGACCCUGCUUUUGUGGGGUGCUCGAGUGGCGAACGGGUGAGUAACACGUGAGUAACCUGCCCUUUACUUUGGGAUAACUUCAGGAAACUGGGGCUAAUACCGGAUAGUAGCUCCUGCUGCAUGGUGGGUGUUGGAAAGUUUCGGCGGUUGGGGAUGGACUCGCGGCUUAUCAGCUUGUUGGUGGGGUAGUGGCUUACCAAGGCUUUGACGGGUAGCCGGCCUGAGAGGGUGACCGGCCACAUUGGGACUGAGAUACGGCCCAGACUCCUACGGGAGGCAGCAGUGGGGAAUAUUGCACAAUGGGCGGAAGCCUGAUGCAGCAACGCCGCGUGCGGGAUGACGGCCUUCGGGUUGUAAACCGCUUUCGCCUGUGACGAAGCGUGAGUGACGGUAAUGGGUAAAGAAGCACCGGCUAACUACGUG
rnacentral:rRNA from 1 species